GACAGAGGGUGCAAACGUUGUUCGGAAUUACUGGGCGUAAAGGGCUCGUAGGCGGCCAACUAAGUCGGAUGUGAAAUCCCCAGGCUUAACCUGGGAACUGCAUCCGAUACUGGAUGGCUUGAAUCCGGGAGAGGGAUGCAGAAUUCCAGGUGUAGCGGUGAAAUGCGUAGAUAUCUGGAGGAAUACCGGUGGCGAAGGCGGCAUCCUGGACCGGCAUUGACGCUGAGUGAGCGAAAGCUAGGGGAGCAAACGGG
rnacentral:rRNA from 1 species